CAGCAGCCGCGGGAAUACGUAGGUGGCAAGCGUUGUCCGGAAUUAUUGGGCGUAAAGGGCUCGCAGGCGGUUUCUUAAGUCUGAUGUGAAAGCCCCCGGCUCAACCGGGGAGGGUCAUUGGAAACUGGGAAACUUGAGUGCAGAAGAGGAGAGUGGAAUUCCACGUGUAGCGGUGAAAUGCGUAGAGAUGUGGAGGAACACCAGUGGCGAAGGCGACUCUCUGGUCUGUAACUGACGCUGAGGAGCGGAAGCGUGGGGAGCGAACAGGAUUAGAGACCCCUGUAGUCCCUGUCUCUUAUAA
rnacentral:rRNA from 1 species